rfam:Gossypium raimondii Chr07_contig_815, whole genome shotgun sequence.
UGUUAAAAAAUUUAUUCAUUUCUACUGUUAAAAAUCGAAGUGGUUGAUGAUGGAAUAACUAGACAGUUACACAUGGCUUGUCACGUGUACUUCAUAUUUAUGUAUAAGGGCUAAUUUUUAACAGUAGAAAUUAAUGUAAGUUUAGCA